GAUGAAGAACGUAGCGAAAUGCGAUAAGUAAUGUGAAUUGCAGAAUUCAGUGAAUCAUCGAAUCUUUGAACGCACAUUGCGCCCCUUGGUAUUCCGAGGGGCAUGCCUGUUCGAGCGUCAUUAUAACCCCUCAAGCUCAGCUUGGUGUUGGGGCCUGCUGCACUGGCAGCCCUUAAAAUCAGUGGCGGCGCCAUCUGGCUCUAAGCGUAGUAAUUCUUCUCGCUAUGGAGUCCUGGUGGAUGCUUGCCAUCAACCCCCAAUUUUUCUAUGGUUGACCUCGGAUCAGGUAGGGAUACCCGCUGAACUUAAGAAUAUCAAUAAGCGGAGGU
rnacentral:misc_RNA from 1 species